CCUACGGGUGGCAGCAGUGAGGAAUAUUGGUCAAUGGACGAGAGUCUGAACCAGCCAAGUAGCGUGAAGGAUGACUGCCCUAUGGGUUGUAAACUUCUUUUAUAUGGGAAUAAAAUGUUCCACGUGUGGGAUUUUGUAUGUACCCUAUGAAUAAGGAUCGGCUAACUCCGUGCCAGCAGCCGCGGUAAUACGGAGGAUCCGAGCGUUAUCCGGAUUUAUUGGGUUUAAAGGGAGCGUAGGCGGAUUGUUAAGUCAGUUGUGAAAGUUUGCGGCUCAACCGUAAAAUUGCAGUUGAAACUGGCAGGCUUGAGUACAGUAGAGGUGGGCGGAAUGCGUGGUGUAGCGGUGAAAUGCUUAGAUAUCACGAAGAACUCCGAUUGCGAAGGCAGCUCACUGGACUGCAACUGACACUGAGGCUCGAAAGUGUGGGUAUCAAACAGGAUUAGAUACCCGGGUAGUC
rnacentral:rRNA from 1 species